ensembl:lncRNA
CCGGGCGCGCAGUGCCGCGCGGUGGCGGCGGCGGGGAGAGCAAUGGAGGCCGCGGCCGCCUGAGGGGCGGGUGCGCUGCUGGUACUGCUGCGGAGGCUGCCGGUGCUGCGGGGCGGCUGCCGGCUUGCUCGCGUCCGCCACCCGCGCGGGACCUCCGGUCGCCGUCCAGUCGCUCCGCCAGCCACGGCGCCGGGCCCAGACUCAGGCAUUCUUGCGAUGGUUUUCCUGGUCCUGUAACCGUCAUUUCUUGCAGAGGUCUGUAGUGGUGAGAUUGGACCUCCUAACCCUACGGAUACGUUCACAAGAGCAGUGAUUCCUAGGUUUUCUCAGCAAUGUACUCCAUUUCCUGGCACGCUUAACCACUGAUCUCCUUUUUAUAAGAGGAAAAUUUUUGGUGGAAAGUUGCCCAGCAAGGAAAGGACGUGUGGCUGUUAAGAUAGGUAAGUCGUUUGUUUAGAGGAUGGGGAGGGAAGUAGCUUACGGAGAAAGUACUAAAGAACGUUUUAUUUAUUGUGAGUGGGACUCUAGAAAUGGAUAGUAUGCAUUUCACAGUCAAGUUAAGAGAUCCUUGUUGCUGAUGACCUUCUAAUUCUAGAUUUAAUUCUCAGCUCUUCUUCUUAGCAGCUGUAUAAACUUGGCCAUGUCACUUAAAUUCUUUAAGCCCCUUUCUUUCAUCUGUAUAAAAAAAUUAAUAUGAAAAGCUUUUGCAAAUGGGAGGAUGUAAUAUAAAAAUGUAAUUAUCAUUGUUUAUUGUUUUGUGACUAUUAUAAAAUUCUAUGGAAUAAUUAGUGGCCUUGUGUCUCAUAGUGCAUUUAGGCCGUAGAACUUGGUACUAUGAAUUUGGGGACUCCAUCUUGAGUGCCAGGUGUGGGAAAUCUUCCCCACCUGCCUCCCCUAUAAGAACAACAUUAUACCUUUCUCUUGUCUACAAGUAUCUGCUACUUUUUAGAAGGAUGAAAGUUAAAGACAAGAUCAAAGGAAAGAAAAUACCUGUAUGAGUUGUUAUGGCAAGCAUUAUAUUAAGUGUUUGGAUACAUUAUUUCAUUUAAUCCAUGUACCAAGUCUUGUAAGGUGGAUGUUAUCCAUACCAUUUUUUCUUAAGAGACAGAAUUCCUCGGGGCGCCUGGGUGGCUCAAUUGGUUAAGCGACUGCCUUCGGCUCAGGGUUAUGAUCCUGGAGUCCCAGGAUCGAGUCCCACAUCGGGCUCCCUGCUCAGCAGGGAGUCUGCUUCUCCCUCUGACCCUUCCCCCUCAUGCUCUCUCUCUCUCAAAUAAAUAAAUAAAAUCUUUAAAAAAAAAAAAAGAAUUCCUUAGGCAGUCACUUAAAAGAAGAUAAAAACCAUUCUGAUUUGUCAUAACUGGAAAGAUAUUACUGGAUGGUAGGAACUUAAAGUUUUUAAUUUUUUCAAUGUUUUACAGUACACGUGUACAGCAUCAUAAAGUGGUUAAUUAAAAAUAAAUAAUGGAUUUUAAAGAAUCUUCGUCAAGUACCUAUUAUGAACUAUGUACUGUUUUAGGUGUUUGUUCACAUCGAUGAGCAAAACAUGAAGCUCUCCGCCCUAUGGAGCUUAUGUUCUAACAUAGAGGGAAACAGAUAAUAAAUAAUGCAUGUAAUUGAGAAAUAAAUUAAUUACUAGGCUAUUAGAAGCCAAUAAGAAUAUGGAAACAAGAAAAAGAAGAGCUAGGGGGAAUUAGUGCUGGGUGGCAGGAGAACACAUUGCAAUGUUAAAUGGAAUGUCCAGGUCAGCUUCGUUAAGGAAAGACAGGAAAUCAGGAGUUCACCAUGGGCAUGUCCUAGGCAAAGGAUGCAGCCAAUGGAAAGACCCUAAGGAGUGAACAUGGUGGGAUAUUUCAGGCAUAGCCGGGAGGCCAGUGAGCUGGACCAGAGUGGACAGGACAAUAGUGGGAGGUGGGUUUAGAGAGGCAAUGUCAGCUUCAGAGAAAGUCAUGUCACUUCUUUAGUUCAAAUCUAUAAGAAAAUUUACCUUAUUUUCUUCUUGCCUACUUGGUUUGUUGUGUGUGUGUUUCUUCUGCAUUUAAAAAACAUACACGUACACACAGAUGCGUGCACACACACACACAUCAAAUAAAUUAUACCUCCACCACUGUAUUAGUUCUUAGGGCGACUGCAGUAAAAUACCACAAACUGCGUGGCCUGAAUGAACAGAAAUGUAUUGUCUCACAGUUCUGUCGGCUAGAAGUCUAAAAUCAAGAGAAGCACUGGGUGUUGUAUGCAACUAAUGAGUCGUUGACUACUACAUCAAAAACUAAUGAUGUACUAUGUGCUGGCUAACUGAACACAACUAAAAAAAAGAGAGAGAGAGGGCCAUGCUCCCUCUGAGACAUAAAGGGGGGAACCCUUCCUUGCCCCGUCAUAGAUUCUGGUGGUGGCCGUCAGUCCUUGGCUUUCCUAGGUUUGCUGCCACAUCACUUCAGUCACAGGGCUGUCUUUCCUUUUCUUAGAAGGACAAUAGGCAUUCUAGAUUCAUGAUCCUACUCCAGUAUGAUCUCACCUUAACAAAUACACUGACAAUGACC